rnacentral:rRNA from 1 species
AUGUUAAAAUUUGCAGAAUUAGGAUCAGUUAGGAUGCAGAUGAGAGGGAGAACAAUCCCAACAGAGUGCCUCCUGCGCUUGAGGCUUCGAUACAUUCUUAUGCUGAUAACAAGGCAGACUCAAUGUCCAUGGGAUAAAGUGCAUGCAUGCGCGGGUAAACCACUGCAGUCCAAUAGCAGAUCAAAACGGUGUGGCUGCACUGCUAUGAUGUGGCUACUGAGAUCGGAUGAUAACGGUUCGUACGGGUGCGAGCAUAGGUCAGAAAUGAUCAUGAACUCUCUGUUAACUGUAUGGAGAAGUUACAUUUUUUUUUUGCGUGGAAAUGGAGAAGUUACAUUGAAAGUCGCAUCGACACAUGUACACCGGGGACAUGGUAAAAGAACAAAGAAUGAAAGCACAUGCAAAGUUUACAGCAUCGUGGCCAGUUUUUUUGGUGUCAGUGAAGGAGGAUUGCGUCGCUGUGGGUCAUGA